rnacentral:rRNA from 1 species
GACGAACGCUGGCGGCGUGCUUAACACAUGCAAGUCGAACGGAAAGGCCCUGCUUUUGUGGGGUGCUCGAGUGGCGAACGGGUGAGUAACACGUGAGUAACCUGCCCUUGACUUUGGGAUAACUUCAGGAAACUGGGGCUAAUACCGGAUAGGAGCUCCUGCUGCAUGGUGGGGGUUGGAAAGUUUCGGCGGUUGGGGAUGGACUCGCGGCUUAUCAGCUUGUUGGUGGGGUAGUGGCUUACCAAGGCUUUGACGGGUAGCCGGCCUGAGAGGGUGACCGGCCACAUUGGGACUGAGAUACGGCCCAGACUCCUACGGGAGGCAGCAGUGGGGAAUAUUGCACAAUGGGCGGAAGCCUGAUGCAGCAACGCCGCGUGCGGGAUGACGGCCUUCGGUUUGUAAACCGCUUUCGCCUGUGACGAAGCGUGAGUGACGGUAAUGUGUAAAGAAGCACCGGCUAACUACGUG